CAUCACAAUUUGAACAGAUCUGGUCGAGCCUUCCGGUUCUCCAGUAACUAUUGACCAAUCUCAAUACCCACAAAAAUAUGGUAUAUGGUAACUAUCAAGUUCUUCAAAAACAGUGAACAUCUACUGGACAAUAAGGAGUCAGCUAAGUGAACCAACCCCAGCAGGAAAAUAAGAGCUGCACAGAGGCUUUGUUUAUGUCUAUGUGCUUUGUGGGAACAAGAGCUUCGUGGCCUUUUGGAUGAUGUGAGAACCUCAGACAGUCUACACCCAACACCAGAUGAGGAGACAGAGAAAACACGGCACAUGUAUAAAGUGGAAUACACAAAGAAUUGAGUUUCAGACAAUCUGCACCCAUCUCCAGAUGAAGAGACACAGAAAACAUGGCACAUGUACACGAUGGGAUACACAAAGAAAUAUAGUGAAGAAGAAAUGCGUAUUUGAAGAAGUCAGACUGAAAGGGCAAUGACAUGAAAGCAUUACUGAGAGACAAAAGAUGCUGUGCAAAGCCACUCACACAGGCAGGUCCUGGUUACCAAUACCAUCCUGACACCUUGACUACAGAGUACUGAUUUGUUUGGGGUGACAUUAUUCCCACUAGAAAACAAAAAAGAUUUCCUUGUUUUCCCAGGGCAAAAUGCUUACCCAGAUGACAUAGUUCUGUCCAAUAAAAUAGAUGUAGCAAUUUCCAAGUCAA